AUGCGCAGCCCAUCAAGAAACUUCGGACUGCAUGCACAAAGCGCAAAGCUACUGCCACCACGUAAGCCAAUUGCUAAACGGCGCAUCUCCCAAUCUCCCUCGGCAGCCAAGCCAGGCACGAGGAGAAGAGGCCGACCGGCCGGAGAUCGACCGAGAUGCAUCCGUCGUCGAGCUACUAACCUGUCAUCCUCUUCGUCGUCGUCGUCUUCGGCGGUGGCGGCGUCGGUGCCUGGUGGGCCGAGCGGGAAUGCGGGGAUGGACGUGGACCAGCUGCCGGUGUACGACCCGCACUCGGACACGGCCAAGAAAGAGGCCCUCGACGCCUCCCGCGCCAACCUCGCCCACGCCCUCGUCCACCUCGUCCCCGUCGUCGUCCUCCUCUGCGGGCUCCUCCUCUGGUCGCUCUCCACCACCCCCGUCCCCCCCGCCGAGGUGGGCGUGAUUGUGCUAAAGAAGGAAAGACCAAUGGCGCUGAAGAGUGGGCCCGAGCACAGCUCGAACGGCCCUCACAUGGUGGCUGCGAUGGAGGAUACGGAUCCGGUAGGCAACACUGCUGGGAGAAGAAUAAAGAAGGACGGACUUAAGAAAUGA
rnacentral:rRNA from 1 species